GACAAAAACACAAAUUAGAACUAAAAUGGGAAAGUAAGAUAGAUGAGUGAACUAAAAUACCCUGACUUAGGUGCUAAAAUGUGCAACAUUUGAGCACUUAUCACACCCCCAAACUUAGAUAUUGUUAUUCUCUAGCAAUGAAAUACUAAGUAAAGAAAGAAAUGAAGAAAUAAACAACUAUGAACUAGAAAGCAAUAAAUGGAUAACGCCACUUUCGUAGGGAACUGUAAUGACCUGGUUAUUUUCUUCCUUUUCCCUUUUUCUUCAAAUUUUGCGGAUAAAUUUUUUUUUCAUUAUCUUUUCCUUUUUGGGUUCGAUUUCCUGCCUCUUAAUGUCGUCUAGAGUGCUCGGAAAUGGUUUCUGAGACUCUUUCCUUUGGAUUGACAACUUCCUUUGAGGACCGAGUCAUUUCCACAUUUUUUUGUUUUUUGACACUAUUCAUUUUUCGUCUUUUCCUUAUUUUGUCCUCUUCUCGUUUUUCACUUUUACUUGCAUAACCUCAUUUUUUGUGCUCUGAUUUGAUUCCGGUUUUGCAUACGUUCAUGAUAUUUAAAUUCCAUGACAUCUACAUUUUUACUUUUAUAGAAAUGCAUAUUAAAUGUUUACUUUCUUUGUAAAAGUUAUGAAAAUAAGACUUUUUGCAAUUAUCCAUAACUUGAGGGGUUUUUGGGUAAUUAAGUAAAGUAAUUAUUUUUUGUCUUAGGGACCAUUUUACAAAUUAAAUUGGAAGAUAUUUCUAAAAAGGACCUUUUUGCAAUUUUUGGAAAAUGUGACAAGUGUCACAUUCCUAUGGUGCCACUUGUUGAUUUUUUGGUGGAACCACUUGGAGGCUUAAUCUCAUGACACAUGGAGGGUGGAGAUUCACCCACUUGUUGUCCUAGGAUUGAUGCACUUGUUGGCAUGGAUGGUUGACAAGUGUAGGGUUAAUAUUUAAUCUUGGAAGCUUACUUGGAUUCAUGACAAGUGUAGAACUCACCUUUAGUCUUGCAUUAGUGUGUGUGUGAGAGGUAGUGCAAGAGCACCUAGUGAGUGGAGAAGCCCACCAAUUUAGCUUAGGGUUUACACAUUUUAAUUCAUUCAUCACUUUCCUCUCAAGAACCCUAAGGAAGCCACCAUUGGAGAAAAGCUUGACUAGUAGCUUUGACUUCAUUUUUGGUGCCCUUUCACUCACCUUAGAACUUUGAACUUGGAAUACUUUUUGUUCCCCUCAUCCACCUCCUUAAAACCCUUGAAGGAUCUAGCCUAACUCCUAGUUUUGCUUUGGUAUCUAGAGAUUCAAUUCUCUAGUGAGUUGAAGGUAGCAAGCUGAAAAAAUCUGUUUUGCGGACCGAAAAUUUGGGGCGAUUUCAUUUCGGUGGUAAUUGGAAUUUUCAUUCCAAUUGAGGUACAAGACUCAGGAUUUGAAGAUUCCAUUGCUCCUUGGAUGGCUUACAGUUUCUAUGUUUUUAUUUUAAGCAAGUGUUAGCAUAAGAUGCCUCUUUGUAGCCCUAUUUGUUUAAACUUGUAUUCGUUGAUUUGUAUAUGUAAAGUGUACGUAAGUGCAUUCUUUUCAAUGUAUUUAAUAUGUAUGAGAUGAGACCGGAGGCCAAUGACAUGUAUCUCGUUUUCUAUGCACUUUUGUUUUCAAAGUUUAUUAUGAAAAUAUUGGAAA